rnacentral:rRNA from 1 species
CCUACGGGAGGCAGCAGUGGGGAAUAUUGCACAAUGGGGGAAACCCUGAUGCAGCGACGCCGCGUGAGGGAAGAAGUAUUUCGGUAUGUAAAGCUCUAUUAGCAGGGAAGAAAAUGACGGUACCUGAUUAAUAAGCCCCGGCUAACUACGUGCCAGCAGCCGCGGUAAUACGGAGGGGGCAAGCGUUAUCCGGAUUCACUGGGUGUAAAGGGUGCGUAGACGGCAUGAUAAGUCUGGAGUGAAAUGCCGGGGCUUAACCCCAGAACUGCAUUGGAAACUGUGCAGCUAGAGUGCAGGAGAGGUAAGUGGAAGUCCUGGUGUAGCGGUAAAAUGCGUAGAUAUUAAGAGGAACACCAGUGGCGAAGGCGGCUUACUGGAAUGUAACUGACGUUGAGGCUCGAAAGCGUGGGGAGCAAACAGGAUUAGAUACCCGUGUAGUC